rnacentral:sRNA from 1 species
CAGGACAAGGACCGCGAGUGUGAAGCUGUUGCGAGCGUGCGGGUCAGAUGUCGCAACAGCUUC